AUUGAACGCUGGCGGCAUGCUUUACACAUGCAAGUCGAACGGGCUGGGGGCAACUCCAGUCAGUGGCGAACGGGUGAGUAAUACAUCGGAACGUACCUCGUAGUGGGGGAUAACUCGGCGAAAGCCGUGCUAAUACCGCAUAUGCUCUACGGAGGAAAGCAGGGGACCGUAACAGGCCUUGUGCUAUGGGAGCGGCCGAUGUCCGAUUAGCUAGUUGGUGAGGUAAGGCUCACCAAGGCGACGAUCGGUAGCUGGUCUGAGAGGAUGAUCAGCCACACUGGGACUGAGACACGGCCCAGACUCCUACGGGAGGCAGCAGUGGGGAAUUUUGGACAAUGGGGGCAACCCUGAUCCAGCCAUGCCGCGUGCGGGAAGAAGG
rnacentral:rRNA from 1 species